AGACCCGAAACCCGGUGAUCUAGCCAUGGGCAGGUUGAAGGUUGGGUAACACUAACUGGAGGACCGAACCGACUAAUGUUGAAAAAUUAGCGGAUGACCUGUGGCUGGGGGUGAAAGGCCAAUCAAACCGGGAGAUAGCUGGUUCUCCCCGAAAGCUAUUUAGGUAGCGCCUCGUGAAUUCAUCUCCGGGGGUAGAGCACUGUUUCGGCUAGGGGGCCAUCCCGGCUUACCAACCCGAUGCAAACUGCGAAUACCGGAGAAUGUUAUCACGGGAGACACACGGCGGGUGCUAACGUCCGUCGUGAAGAGGGAAACAACCCAGACCGCCAGCUAAGGUCCCAAAGUCAUAGUUAAGUGGGAAACGAUGUGGGAAGGCCCAGACAGCCAGGAUGUUGGCUUAGAAGCAGCCAUCAUUUAAAGAAAGCGUAAUAGCUCACUGGUCGAGUCGGCCUGCGCG
rnacentral:rRNA from 1 species